AUUGAACGCUGGCGGCAGGCCUAACACAUGCAAGUCGAACGAGUGGCGGACGGGUGAGUAAUGUCUGGGAAACUGCCUGAUGGAGGGGGAUAACUACUGGAAACGGUCGCUAAUACCGCAUACCAUCAGAUGUGCCCAGAUGGGAUUAGCUUGUUGGUGGGGUAACGGCUCCCCAAGGCGACGAUCCCUAGCUGGUCUGAGAGGAUGACCAGCCAGCCUGGAACAGAGACACGGUCCAGACUCCUACGGGAGGCAGCAGUGGGGAAUAUUGCACAAUGGGCGCAAGCCUGACGCAGCCAGGCCGAGUGUAUGAAGAAGGCCUUCGGGUUGCAAAGUACUUUCAGCGGGGAGGCGUGACCCGGAGAAGAAGCCCCGGCUAACUCCGUGCCAGCAGCCGCGGUAAUAC
rnacentral:rRNA from 1 species